GAUUUGCUUCCGGGAAAACAAGUCCGAGAGCAGCAGGCACUUGCCAAAAGUCACGCAGCGAGUCAGGGGAGGAUCCAAGAUUUCAAAUUUCUCCGGCCGGGUGGUGGGUCCAUAUCCUGUGUAGCCUCUAGGAAGCGCUAGACCCAUGUAAGUGGUUCCUUUUCUGUGGUUGUUAUUUUAUCCUCCCCCAUCCCCGCACCCCUUAGGGACAAAAGUGUAUGGCGGAAAGAAUCCCAAAGUCUGGAGUCGUGGGUUCUCACAUGGCCAGCGCUGCCACGGUGUGAAGUGAACAAAUCAUACAACUUCUCUGAGAGUCAGUUCCUUCAUCUGCAAGUGGGGCUGGUGAGACCCACCUCGCUGAGCUGGGUUGCUGUAGUGUCAUGGCCUCCAGGGCUAGGAGGUCAUUGCCUACAGCCCCCUGCCCUGGCCUUCCUGGGAGUUUCCCUGAGCGUGGAUGGGAUGCCAGAAUGUAAGAGCAAGAGUGUGCCUUGGCAGAACCAGGUGUACUCAUCCUGUGAGGAGCAGUGAGGGCAGGAGGGUGAGGGAGGAAAGGGUCAGAAGUCAGCUCCUUCCAGGGUUUUCUCUAGGACUGGGGCUUGAAGUUGGACUUGCCUCCGUUUCCAUUCCUAGGUUCUAGUUUUGGGGCUUUUCAGCUUCUGAACUUGGGGGAAUUUCCCCUUGUGUUCAUGGCCUGAGAAUUUCAAGGUAUUUGUGGCUUUGAGAGUUCAGAUUCAACAGCCCAGUAGCAGCUGGUGUCAGGAAAAUCUUGACAGCUUUCCUUUACUCCAGGCGUUUGCCUCUCAUUUCAACCUGCAGCAGAUGGAAACGGUGACUGCUGUGAGCCAAGCAUUGAGCUGGGGUCGGGGUAGGGAUACAGUGAUGACUAGAUCCAGUUAUUUUCCUCAAGGAGGGAACAUUCUCCUCUACACUGUUGACCUGAAUCAUUUUCUUCUGUAAUCAGGGAGCUGGUGUUUUUAAUCAUUUUAAUAACAGUAAUAAAAAUGACUGUCAUGUAUUAAACACCUCCUAUUAACCAGGCAUUUGCCUGAGCAAUUUAUAUAUGCUACUUCUUCCCACAAUUUUGGGCCGCAUAUGUUAUUAUCCACAUUUUGUAUAUGAGGAACUAGGCCCAGAGAGGUUAAGGAUCCCACUCAGUCACACAGGCAGCUGGAAACUGACUUCAGAUGUGUGUUACAUUCCCUUUUUAUAUCUUCUCUGCUAAGGGCCACCUUCCUGUAAAGUACUGGUUUUCUGCAGGGGAAAUGGCGCUUAGAUGGUGGGCUGGAAGAAAUUGUCUCGCUCAAUCCUCUGUAGCUCCUUUCAAAGCCUCCUUUCAGAGCUCCCGUAUUUAGAAACUUCAAGACUUAGGACUUUAUAUAAAUAUAUAUCUUUUGCUUAAGGGUUCUGCGUGUUCCUCUAUGCCUUAUGUGGUUUAGUAGGCUGAUUUUCUCCUUAUGUUGAGAAAUAGCAUAUUUCUUCCAAAAAAUAGCAGAUCUGUUCAUGUUAACGCCCUUGCUUGGAAACCUUUGUUGGCUUCCCCUUACAAGCAAGAGAGGGUUCAGAUCCCUUUGCGUGGGCGAAGGGGCCUUUCACAGCCUAGCUCCUGCUCUCCAUCCUCCUCUCUCACUCCUAAUAUCAGUCAGGAAAGGCUGGGCCUUGCUGCCCUAACAAACAACCCUGUCAUCUCAGUGGCUUACCCCAGGGAAGUUUAUUUCUCAUUCACCGUGGGUCUGCAGGGGAGUUCCAUUCACCGUGGACUUGGGUUGAAGAAGGCUUCAUCUUGAUGCUUGCUUCUCAUUACUGUCUUGGCUGGGGGAAGUGCAGGCAGCAAAUCAUUCACUGGCUCUCAACAUCCACCUGGAAGUGACACACUGCACUCCUGCACAUGCAUCCUUGGCCAGGGCCAUUCACGUGGCCAUGCUUAACUUGAAAUCUCUGUAAUCCUGCCAAGUGUCUUGAAGGGAGAGAGUCAGGAAUAUUUGGGGAACAACACUAAUGACAGGAAUAGUCUCCCCUUCUGUUCACCAAAUGUUUGGCUUACUGUCCUCCCAUGGGCAGAAUUCCCUCACUUUCUCCUCCAGGGGGAUGACCCCAAAGACCCAUCUAAUCAUAGUAUAUCACACUUACUUUCCACAUUCUGAGUGAUGCGAGUAGACUCUGUUUCAGCUCCAGGUAUGUCUCUUCAUCCAAAGACAAGAUGCCUGCCUGGGAUGGCCUCCAUAGGUAACAGUGGGACAGAGACAGGAUAACUGCGGUGGACACACCAAUUGACAGUGAAGGGAUGGGACACCACAGUGGACACUAAUCCACAGAGCAGGCAUGCUGGGGACCCUCCACCCGGCACCCGGAUUAGACCUUGAUUCUGCCCCCUGAGUGUAGCUGCCUGAGCCCUUGUUUCUCAUGACCCCUGGGCUUGCCCUCCGUGUCUUCCUUCUCUGCAUCUAAAGUGGGUACAGCAAAUAGGCGUUUAAAUCAGCUUUUAGAAAUUGUGGGUGGGGUGGGGAAACAGGGUGAUAUUAAGUCUCAAAUAUGGUCUCCCCUAAUCCAGGCUGAUGUUCUUUUGGCAGUAUAACUCUCCCCCAAAUGUAGGUUUCCUAUGUAUUUGAUUCCAGGUGUUCCGUGUGCCAAGAGCCACAGCCAGUUCUUUCCUAGACAUGCCUCUAUGGUUUGCCAUAUUUCUUUGCUUUCUUGCUCUCAUGCCUGCUAAUCUCUCUCUCUCUCUCUUUCAUAUUGUUAUCAUCCCCACCCCCACCCCCCACCCCCACCCCUGCCUCUCUCUCUCCCUUUCUCUCCUGCCCUCUCUCUCUCUGGUCUUGACUUGGUUUUGAGUGCUUUGGGCUUAUUGGACUUGGGUGGCAGAGUCAUACUUUUCCUUCCUGUUCCAGAGCCCUUUUCUCUAAUUGAAAGCAUGUGCCGGGUAACGUCUUAAUUUAUCCAGAGGUUUUAACAAUAGGUUUGAGGCCAUUUCUUUGACUGGAGCCAUACUUCAGGGCUGAUUUUAAUUGGUCUCUUCUUGCUGAAAAUCUUUCUUAAUCUGAUAUUUUACUAGUUGAGAUUGAGAAACAACACAUUUCUCUGAAUGUGUAUGUCGUCCCCACUGUCUUUUAUUUCUACUUGCAAACUGGCCAAAUCUUCUCUGAGCUCGUCUCUUUUCUAUAAUAAGUUUCUAAAUCCAAGAGCCACCAACACAUGCUACAGACAUUUUGUCUUACAAUAUUUUGCUUUAGUUCAUUAGGUUCAUUUGGUUCAUUAGGUUCACCUCCUAAAUGAUCACAGGUGAUAAAUUCAUCGGAUAGAUCACCAUCCUUUUACCUUCUGAUAUCAGUGUUCUUUACUGCCCUGUACACAAAUGUUUCUUUUCUUGCUGUUGUUAUUACAUUAUCCCAUGUCAAGGUGCCACUUUUUAUAUCCAUCAGGAUGGGUGAGGUUUGCCACCGUAACAAUCCUAAUAUCUCCUUGGCUUAACCAAAAAUUUUAUUUCUUGCUCAUACUAUAUGUUCAAGGUCAGAGGAGCUUCUCUCGAUAUACUCACUCAGAGACAGUCCGAAGAAGGUUUCAUCCUGAAAUAUGUGUGCUUCCACAAGCAUCCCAACCACCUUGACAAGGAAGAGAAAGCAUGGUGAUUCCAUAAUGGCUUUAGAACUUCCUCCUGGAGGAGCUCCCCUGUGGCUCAGUGGGUUAAGGAUCCAGCGUUGCUGCAAGCUGCCAUGUACUUAACAUAUGCGGCUCAGAUCCUGUGUUGCCGUGGCUGUGGCAUAGGCCAGCAGCUGCAACUCUGAUUCAACCCAUAGCCGGGGAACUUCCAUGUGGUGCAGGUGCAGCCGUAAUAAGAAAAAUAGUAUUGGUCAAAAAUUAGUUGUAUGGCCAUCUAAUUAGUUGUCUUUCUUAAAAAGUUCAGGAUGGUACAUUCCUACUAUGUGCCUGGAAGUCAAGAGCUGGAAAUGCACACCUCUGUAUAGGCCAGGUUACGCUCUGGUAGCAAGCCAAAAAUCUUACUGGAUGACAACCACGGAAUGAUUUCUCACUCGUGUUGCAUGCCUAUUAUGGGUUGGCUGUGUCUCUGCUUCACACAGAUCAUCUUUGCACCAGGGACCUUUUCUGAAACAUUGCUGAUUGUCGUGGCAGGAAAAAAAGAACACUGAGAGCAGUUUAUGUGGCCAAGCCUGUUGUCGGUGGGGGCGGGGCAGCAAGUAUUUGCAAAUAGUAAUACAGUCUACCACACCCUACACUACACAUUCCUUCCAUUCCUAUGAGCCUCAGCUACCUUAAACAUUUUCCAUACCUCUAACAUUUUCCUGUCUUUCCAUUUAUUUCUAUCCUUAGUCAGAAUGCCACCUGGAAAACUCCUACUCACCCUUCAACACCCUGCUCAAAUGAUUGCUCCUCUGAAGCUUGCUGUUACCCUGUCUCCCACCCUCCUCUCAAAUAGUUAUUAUCUUUUUUGGCUCUCACCACACUGGGUACACACCUGAAGCUGAGAACAUUCAUCAUGUGUUCUUACAAAUAUCUCUUUACAACCCUGACUCUGAAUCCAGAAACUGUUUUAUUCGCUUUUGUAUUUUCCAAUGUUUAAUGCAGUGCCUGGCAUGUGGAAAGAUAGAAGGUGCUCAAUAAAUGCUUGUUUGUGGAUUUCUUAAAAAGAGCCUUUUCUCUAGUGGAAUUAGUGGGGUGUUUACUAGUCAAAGAGAAACAGAACUUUUUAAAAUUUAUCUUAUUGAAGUAUAGUUGAUUUACAAUAAUGUGUUAAUUAUAGCAAAAUGAUUCAUAUAUAUAUGCAUCCUUUUUCAUAUUCUUUUCCGUUAUGAUUUAUCAUAUAAUAUUGAAUAUAGUUACCUGUGCUAUACAGUAGGGCUUUGUUUAUCCAUUCUUUUUUUUUUUUUUUAAUUUUCCCACUGUACAGCAAGGGGGUCAGGUUAUCCUUACAUGUAUACAUUGCAAUUACAGUUUUUCCCCCACCCUUUCUUCUGUUGCAACAUGAGUAUCUAGACAUAGUUCUCAAAGUUUAUCCAUUCUAUAUAAUAGUUUACUAAUCUCAAACUUCCAGUCCAUCCCUCCAUCUUUCUCCCCCUUGGCAAUCACAAGUUUGUUCUCUAUGUCUGUGAGUCUGUUUCUGUUUUGUAGAUAAGUUCAUUUGUGUCAUAAUUUAGAUUCCACAUAUAAGUGGUAUCACAUGGUAUUUGUCUUUCUCUUCUGAUUUACUUCAUUUAGUAUGAUAAUCUCUAGUCCAUUCAUGUUGCUGCAAAAGGCAUUGUUUCAUUAUUUUUUGUGGCUGAGUAAUAUUCCAUUGUGCAUGCAUACGCAUAUGUGUCGUCUUUAUACAUUUAUCUGUUAAUGGACAUUUAGGUUGUCUUCAUAUCUUGAUUAUUGUAAAUAAUGUUGCUGUGAAUGUAGCAGCGUAUGUAUCUUUUUGAAUUAGAAUUUUCUCUGGAUAUAUGCCUGGGCGUGGUAUUAACAGUAACUUGUUUUAUUUUAUUCAUUUUUUUGUUGUUUUUUUUUUGUUUGUUUGUUUUUUAGGGCUGCACUUGUGGCACAUGGAGGUUCCCAGGCUAGGGGUCUAAUCAGGGCUACAGCUGCUGGCCUACGCCAGAGCCACAGCAACGCUAGAUCCAAGCCGAGUCUGCAACUGACACCACAGCUCAUGGCAAUGCCGGAUCCUUAACCCACUGAGUGAGGCCAGGGAUUGAACCCGCAACCUCAUGGUUCCUAGUCAGGUUUGUUUCCACUGUGCCAUGAUGGGAACUCCCCAUUUUCUUUUCUUUUUAAGGCAUAUGGAUGUUCCCAAGCUAGGGGUCAAAUUGGAGCUGCAGCUGAGGCCUCUGUUACAGACACAGCAACACACGAUCCAAGCCACAUCUGAGACCUACACUUGUAGCAAUGCUGGAUCCUUAACCCACUUAGUGAGGCCAGGGAUUAAACCUGCAUCCUCCUACAGACUAUGUCAUGUCCUUAACCCACUGAGCCACAGUGGGAACUCCAAUAACUUGUUUUAAUACAGAAAACUUGGAACAUGUCAAAUCACCCUGCUGAACCUUCUCUAAGCACAUCCUAUUGGACAUGGGCUAAAACCCCAAUUCUUUAUUUUGCCUAUAAGAUCUCACAUGAUCUGAGCUCUCCUACCAGCCUAGGAUAGGAUAUUCAGGGUAAUUUUGUUUGUACAUUUCCCCUUACUGUCUGCAGCCACACUGGCUAUGACUGUCUCAGUCAGGAUAGCCUAGGUUUUGCUUU
rnacentral:lncRNA from 1 species